GUCGUCUGCUCACACGAAGGUUUCAAGUCAAAAUGUUUUCAUCACAAAGCAUCGGAAUCCUUGAAGUAACUUUGGUUUGUGUUCCUCGUUAUUGGUUACGGACGCAACAGACAGGGUUUUAGUCAUCACCAAACAUCACCACACAAGAAGUCCUCAGCAGAUGACAGAACUGUUCCAACUGUAAAUUACUGCAAAUACUGGUUCAAUUAACAGAUAAUGAGGAGCAGCAGUUUCAUCACAAGAGAUGCACCAGGGCUGUGAUUGAGAACACUUGGCUUGAAGCUUCAUCACAACUUCAAACACUUCAUCAUCUCUCUACAACAAGCUUCUUAUACACAUCAACUUUAUAAACUAAUCAGUUCUAGGAUAUUAAGGUAGGUUUGUUGUUUUGUUUAUGAAUUGUAAAAAGGCCUGUUUACAUACACUUUGACUUCCUCAUCAUGAUACUUAUGGCUUAGGGGCCAUUUCACCACACAAGUCAAUUUGUCUGCAACUUUGAGGCAACUGCUGCAGUGCACACAAACAAAACACUUUGAUCAAAGUGCUCUUAUAAUCAUGGUCUCACUACCUCUAAGAAAUUUAUCUAAACAUUACUGCCUGGUGAGGCAGUAGCGGGGCAU